UUAGUAGAGUGGAAUGCC
rnacentral:miRNA from 1 species